AGUGCACCAAAUUACAAGAAGUACAAUAGAAUGUGAUUCUUCGAUACAUCGUUAUAAUACUCCAAAUUAGAAGAUAUCUAAGAGCAUCAGUUCGUGGCAAACGCCUCGCUUUUUACCGACAUCGCCAGAAUGAGAAAGAGGUAACAGCUCUACUAGAAGCACAAGGAGGCGCCAUGAACGACAGGAUAAUGAAAGUUCACCAAGAUGCAAGUACGAUGUAAAUUACGUAGAUUAAUCGAUGGUGCGCCGUUAUCAGGAGUUUUCAUCGGCCAUUAGCACCAACUGCGACCAGUGUAAAACGUUUCACGAUGCGCGCAAAACACGUUUCCAUUAAAAGCGAAACGUAAAGUAUCGGUUAUCUUCACGCUUAGAAUACUUACUAAACCUUAUCUCCCUAUCUUCCACGAACGAAACGAAAAGUAUAUUGCCUGUCAUAAGCGUGAAACCAUUUUCUCCAUUUUUAUACAGGUACUUGGUAUGAGAUAUAACAGAUAGGAUAAGUCCGGUUAGAAAUAUUUAGAAGUGAGCAGCCAAACUGAAAGUUCCUAUUACAAUUUCUUUUUGUCGCGAGUUCGAUUGUUGAGUCAACUUGUCCAGUUCCACUUUUUGUAUAAUUUGGAUGUCAUGCUGGUUCUGCAAUUAUGAAACGAAGAUAAACGGAAAGGAAAGGCUAACUUGUUUCUCAAUAUAAUUUCAAACUUCGUUUCAACAUGUAAACUAAUUUUGAUACAAUAUAUAAAAAUUGAAAGUUUCUCUGAGGUUUUGUAGUUACGAGACGCAGCGUGUUUUCAUUGGAAGAACGUCAAAACACGCGAUGAAGUGCCAUUUUUAUAAAAAUUCCUUCUAAGGAAUGGAUAUUUAUUUCAUGAAGAUAUAGACUGUAAUGGCUCUUAAUGAAGAAGUUAUUUCUAAACGCAAUUAUGCGGUUAUAAUCGAGGCAGUAAAAUGAUGAAUUCUUAUGCUGUUCUGGAAGAGACAACAACGUGACAUAUUCUUUUAUCAUUCUACGAGUCUUUGUUCGCCAUCCUCCGAUGUAAUGACGAGGCUGAUUUGCAUAUUGGGACACAUAUUUGCGGAUGAUGGACAAAUAGUCGAUAUGGUAAUGGAUUAUAUUUGAACGUGACGCGACGAUCAGAAUUGUAAUUGAAAUACCUUGACAUUUUUACGAUUUAUGAAAUACGUAAAAGAAUAAAUUGGAUGUACCAAGGUCGAAUAUGUACAUAAUUUCCAGCGAAUAUUCAUAUAAAUUCUAUGAAUUAUUUGCAGUAAAUUAAUAGCAUUUAAAAAUUUUUAAUGAGGCGCGAUUUUCACGAUUGCAUUGGUCAAUUUUGAAAACAUUCUGAAAAUGGAUGUAAUUUAAUAGAAAUAUAUAUUUAUCCAAAAAGCACUAAUAACUAUCUUGAAUGUAUAAUCUAUGUAAAAUAUAUCAUAUAUUAUUUGUA